ensembl:lncRNA
CCACUGGGCGCCAAAUCUAAAGGACAGGAUUAAUAUCCUGGCUGGUGAAGACACUUCCAACACCGAGGCACCGGUAAACACAGUCAUUUUUGUUAUUUUAAUGGAAACUUUUAUAAAACGAGCAAUGUGAAUGAAUGAGAGGUCGAUCAAGGAGACCUGGGACGUUUUCCGACGACGGACAAAUCAACGUCCAUCUGAUCAUCAACAAACGUUUAGUUUUAGGCAACAAUGCUGUUUGUCUGUUGCAUCGGAACUAUCGUCUAUUCUUGUUCACUAUUGACUAUUUUCUUCAGGCUUCUGAAAAGCGAUACACAACAUUUGGUGGAUACAACUGUUUUCUGCUAUUUCUCUACUAUUUGUAAUGUCUCUGUUUCCUUCUUCCGCUCUGUUUCCUGACGGUUUAAUAGGAUCCGUGACCCACAGGGCCGCUCGUCUCCGGGUGACUGAGAUCUCUUCAUUUCACGCAGCGACACACCAGUAAAGUUCAGGUCAACGUUGGUAAAACACAGUAAAGAAAACACAAACGUCUCCGUCGGCUCUGCAGCUCGUACAAAACAUGUAGUCCAAAAGUUUUAUUGUGCUUUAAAUGUUCAAAUCAUUGGUAAAUAUGUAGAGUGAUUCUCGACGGUCUGCAGCUGGUCCGGGUCUCUACUUAAAGAAGCCGCCGAGGGCCCCCAUCACUGCGACUCACCUCCCCCCUUGCUCUUGUCUUCCUUCCCCUUGCUCUUGUCUUCCUUCUUAUUGCCCCCGCUGACCAUCGAGAGGGCGUCAUCGAGGCCAAAGCCGUCUCCGCCUCCGCCGCCUCCGCCUCCGCCGCCGCCGCCUCCGACCAACGACAUCACCUGGUCCACCGGUCCUUUCUUCUCCUCCUCCUGCCCUUCCUUCUUACCCAUGACUUUGCUCAUGGUGUCCUCCACAAGCUCCUCUGAGGACACAAGAAGCGGUUCAGUUCUCCUGUAGAUACACGAUGUCUGCAGGUUUGGUUUCACCGCCUGAAGCCGAUGGGUGCGGAUCACCAAAUAUUUGAGGGUGAUUAAAGCAGUAAUUCAGCCUCCUGAGUCGGCUGACAUCACACAAAGUGACUAGCAGGACACAAGGGAACUUCUUCCACCACGUCAAACCUCACGCAGCCAAACACAGACACUGGAAUCAUCAUUCUAAUUAUUAUAAUCCAUCCAUAUAUCUAUCGAUCCAUCUAUUGAUCCAUAUAUCUAUCGAUCCAUCUAUCGAUCCAUCUAUCGAUCCAUCUAUCGAUCCAUAUAUCUAUCGAUCCAUCCAUCCAUCUAUCGGAACGUAUAAUUGCUCCUCAUAAUAAUCCAAGUAUUCUGUACAUUGGGUUUUAGCUCCUCUUCCCGUGAAACAUUCAGCCUGAAUAUUUAUUCAUUUAUUCUAAAUAUGUAAUAUAUAAAUAUGUCUAAAUAUUACGGCGUCUUUGGGGAAUUCAGAUGUAAAAACAAAUAAUGAGGAAGCGAGACACUCACCCACUUUCUGACCGGCCAUCUUGGAGAUCAUUCUGUCCAUGGCUGCUGCUGAUAGUCACUGCUGCCUCCACUGUGUGUUUACUGUAUAUAAGCAUGGAGGUGGGCGGGGCUGAAGGCAUUGGGCGGGGCUUCUGGAGGCCGGCUUACCUGCGGGUAGCCCCGCCCUCUGUGGACUCGCCCUGUUG